ensembl:lncRNA
GUGCAUGUUCUGGGGGUGAGUUCAUUUAAAAUGUCUGUUGUUAACAUCUAAAAGGGUACAAUAUCAAAUCUGCAGGAAGAUCCGGCUGUGACCAAUUUUUCCUCAGUGGUGCCAAAACCAGCUGUCAUCUGAGUGUGCACUUUACUUGGCAAUUAUCGCCAUAAUCAAACAGGCUUAUGUAUAUUUUAGCAAAAAGCUUGUCACAGUAGAAUCCCCGGUUCCUUGUAUCUAUAUUUGAGCGGUUGGUUAGGACGAGGGAGACAUUUGGACAUAAAACACUGUUAAUAGUCGGAGCAUCAUUAAGGGAUCUUUCCUCAUAACUGGCUUGGCGGGGGGCAGAAGAAUGAUCAAGAAUAAUGUGCGGCGCUUUGUAGCCACCCAGGUCACCGCCUGCAUACAAAUCCGCAAUAAGGAGGAGAGGCAGGGAAGGAGGGAAGGCCGGGGAGGAGGCAGGGGGUCUCAAACAGUGAAUGGGUUUGAGAGGGGAAGGGAGAGAGGGACGGUGGGUGAGGAGAACCGAUCUCAAAAAGACGGGUCAUCUCUGUGUAGCAAGUUGAGAGAUUCUGCAGGUCCUUGUUGGGAAAGAGGUGGAGGGAGGUACAGGGGAGGGGGAGGUGAUUUGGGUGAGCUGGGAGAGAGGUAACAGGGUAGAAAGAGGGGUGGCGGGGGGGGUCUCGAGCAGGCGGAGGCCCAGAGCUGUAUUCAGUGGGGGUAGGCUGCUCCAGCUCAGACGCUACUACAAAGCUGGACUCCUACGGUUCAUGAAUAAGGCGAUGAAAUAAUCAGAGAAAAAGGGAAAAGAAUCCUAAGAGAUGUUUAGACAGAUGGCCCACUUGAAACGACGCGAGGACCCAGACAGAGAAAAGUGAUUUUAAUGAAACUUCAGAUUCAACAAAUAAUUGAUCUUCAUACCCUCCUCCUCAAAAUCCCAGCAGAAAGGUGAAAGUAAAUGUGUUACAAGUGCCUUUUGCAACGGACAUUAAAAGACACUAGCUUUAAAUCCUUUGGAUUGAACUAAAUUGACAUCAUGAGAAGAGGCUGGAGGAGAGAAAAAAGAAAAAUCAAUGGAUCUCUGGCUGCGGUGAAAGGACGGCAUUACGAAUGGGAUUUGCCAGUGGGGCACAACCGCUGCCAAAUAACCUAGAGCUGAAGAAUUACAAUAAUACUGAUGAAGUGUGUGAGGGCUGUUAGAGGCAUUUCUGGAAAAUUGCUCUGAUGGAGGACAUAACAGUGCUAUAAAAUGUGUCCGCCCUCUUUGGUGCUCUGAAAAGAAACAACAAAUUCAACUCUGCCUUCUAGAAGGACCAAGGAUGAGGAAAGAGGGAAUCACCCUCUUAUUUAUUGCCCCACACACAAGUUUGUAACUGUUUGUAACUCCUGCGGUGAUAAAGAAAUACUUUUCACCUUCCAAAGAAAGGAUUGUUAUUUGCUCACCUUUAUGCAGCGUGAGAAGCAAAGACAAAAUACGCAGCUCAGUGAAAUCCAAAUCCACAUUUAUUUCAGUGUUGUAUUCAAGUUCAUCAUUUGAAGAUACCACCGUUGCAAUAAGGUUUUUUAGCCUUUGUUGAUCAUCUUGAGCUUUAUGAUCUUUAUUGAUCAUUUUGAUCAUUAGUCCGUCUAUGAAAUGAUUAUUUGCUGAACAAUGCAGCUGAUGAUAACAUAGAAAUGUAUUUGAUGGGGCAUCUUAAUAUAAAUGCACUUAUUGACACUUGUCCCAUGAGUAAAGUGCAACCAAACACUGAACAAGACCUUUUUAGGCUUAAAUGAAAGUUUGAAAAAACACACAGCAGAGUUUUAAAGGUCUAGGAAAAAUACAGCAAAAACUCCCAGACUGGACACACUGUAAAGUGUAUUUAUUGUUUUUAUUGUAUCCUUGUGUUGUUUGACUCUAAAAGGUCUGAACAGAUUUUCCUGUCUUCUCCCACUGCGCGGUGAAUUCAUGGAAAAAAAUGUGAAAAAUCAUAAUUUCAUCACAAAAUGAUAAAAUGGCAUUACAUGGUUUUAAACGUGUGGCUUUGUCCACCUGUAGAGUGUUCUUCAAUGAAGAAGAAGUAUAUAUAAUGCCGGAAGCCUCAGGGCGGCUUGGCUCCUUUGCAAUAUUCUGAAUCCAUGAAAGAUCUCCCAUCAGUAUUAGUGGCUAUAUACAGUAUGCAGACGAUUCAGUGAUGUACGAGAACAAUUUCUCUGUAUCAUCUAUGGAUAAAAUAUAGAUUUUUAAAAUCAUAACUUAUUUGUCUUACCCCCUUCACCAAAACAUGACAUCACCUGUCCAGCUGCAUUGCCCCCCAGCACUGUUUUCGUUGUGCCAGCAAAGGGCAGCGGUUCUUCCUCCAUUACAUUUUGAUAAUGCGGCUGUAAACGAAAAGAAAGGCAGCCAAGGAAAGAGGGAGAGAUGAGAUGGGGUGAAUAAAAGGAGGAGAGGAACAAGCUCCCAUCAUCUAUUUUUAUGCUGCAUUUAAUUUACAUUUUCUUUUUGCUGCCGAUAAAAGCGGACAGGGAACACAAGGACGAUGACACCCAGGGUGCUCCCCGGGUCAGAGGGCAACAGUUAACCUGUCACAAGCAGAGUACUGAUUAGAAUAAAUCUACACACACACCAGAGGUCAGCUCUGGCCUCUGCUACCAAUCUGACCCGCCACUCUCUCAGGGUCUGUGUGCAUGUCCACAAACUCUGCUUAGUGCACGCGUGUUACAGCGUGUGUGUAUCACUGAAUGUCUGAUAAUCAUUUCUUUGGUUUUGGGGGCACCACGACAGUGAUCUCUUUUUCAUUGGGGUUGUUUUCUGUUAUGUGUCACCACAAUUUUUUUCUAUUCUUGUUUGUUUCUUUUGAAAUUAAUUGAUAAAUCAGAAGUGUCCGUUACCACACGACCGGUGGGGAAAUCUACAAAUAGUACUGUCUGCACGUGGAAGUGUUCUUGAGCGGGACGUUGAAUCUCAAGGUUGCUCUCUGUGUGAUAAUUAAUCAAUGAACCACUAUUUAAAUUACUGGCGUAAUAAGAUCUAAGAGAAAACAGACUAGUAUUAUAUAAAUAAUAGUAUCCUAAGUACUAUUAUUUACUGCUCGAUAAACUAAUAUCUAGAAUUGUAAACCACAGAGCUGUCCUCCACAUCUCUUCUUUAAUGUGAGUAGAAAGGGCACUUUGGGGUGGAAAUCUAACGCACAUAAACACUAGACUUCAUCUCUGGGGCUCAGAGGGCGAGACCCUGCGGCCCUCUCGCAGAGGAUGAAAGAGCUAUCGGUGAAUAAAAGAAUGGGGCUGCUAUAGUGUACACAUAAGCGCACACUACCAGACGCACAUAGAAUACGUCAUACAAAGAGCUGGAGGCUAUCACAGUGUGAGCUACCAUGUGGGAUGUUCCUCGGCCCACACCGGUGGAGCGUGGAAAGCGUGGGGUGAAGUGAGGUUACCAACUGGAGAACUCAAUGUCUGGGAUUGUGCGUUCACUGUUGUUCUUCUGCAGCUCAUCUAAACAUGAUGAUUGGGUUGAUCAGGACUCUCGCUUCAAUGUUGCUUUUCUUGUAUUACAUUUUGUGUCGCAGGAACGGAGAGAUGCGUCUUUUACACCAUUUACAUUUUUGACGUUUGAGAUUGACUGCAACAGACAAAUAGUCUUCCUGUUCCUGUACUCAUUUGCCACCAUUGCAAGCAACAACUGCUACUGAGUACAAGGGGCAUCGACAUCUCUGCCUCCAGACAAUACCAGGUACACCUGCCUCUCCCAGCAAGGAGGCAUCUUCACACAUUUGCAUUUCAUCAGUUUGCAGAGUCUAUACUGUAGGCUGACGGUUUUACUAUCAAUAAGAAAACUGUUUUUCUUUGCCUCGGGUCUGCAUAUUAUUACAUUUUCAUAACCCGCUUCAUUUAUUUGUAGAGGUUGUAGACACUUCAACACUGCUAGAACCGACUUUAUAAUGGUGUCUCUGAAGCUGAACAGCCAGAGACAGCAACAAACUUAUUCAAGUCACUUCUUUUAAGGCAGUGUCCUUGUGGUUUUAUAUAUAUAUACAAAUGUGUCAAAUAAAACUUACCAUACCAUACCAACAAUGCUAGAGAUACAGAGAUAUAAUAAAGUAUAUAUAUAUAUAUAUAUAUAUAUAUCUUUUAACUAAGAAAAAGCAGCAAAGCAAACAAUGAAGGCAUAAUCUCCGCUGGUUUCCUGAAGGAAGCGGCUUGCGGUGGUGCAGUGAACAGGCAAACACACACUCAUCUCAUCAAAGCAUUUAAGUUUAGUCCUAUAGAACGUGUAUUUAGCCAAGCCAACCUGCAAGAUGUUUUUUUUCAUCAAAUUUCUGGUCAGUCAUCAUCAGUAAUAGUUUGGAAAGGGCACGUUUUCUUGCCGAGUGAUCGGAAAAAUGAAAAAUAAAAAAAUAAUUUGCGUAUUAAAGCCAGUUAGGAGAAGGGUUAUGACGCCGAAGAACGUAAACUCCCUCAUUUUGUCGUAGUAUUUAAGUAAUGGGGAAAUAAGAAAAAAUACAUAUUAUUUAUAGGUCGGUAAUUCAAGAAAAUGCAUUUUGUAGACGUGUGGCGAUACUAACAAGAAAAAUGUAAAUGAUUCUGAUAAAUCAUUUUUUUUGAUCAUGCAUAUCCAUGAGGUUGGGUAUGUCUCUGCUCGGUAUUUCUUAAGUACAUAAUAGGCUAAAGUUUGAAUAAAAUUGGCAAACAAAGCAGGUGCCUGUGCAGCAGCACGACGCCCACAGGUAUCUCUCAUCUCUUUUUUUCCCGUGAGUCAGCCGGAGAGAUCAGUGGUGUCAGAAGUAUCAGGCCCCAGCCUCAGCAGAAGGGGGGUCAGGUCAGGGGAACCCUUUCUUCCUCUGACCUAUUGUUCUUCCUCGGUUGGAAAACACACCGCAGCUCUUUUAUCCGCAGCUCUGCGGCCAGAGAAACAGGAAGUGUCUGCAUCACAGACUCCAUCCAUCAUCUCCAACCAACAUACCUGUGACAUGUAUAGACUUUUCACUCUGGUUGUUACCCACUUUUAACAUGACAGACUCCAUUACUCAGGGCAGUAUGAACAUCGCCAUGAUAAUCUACUUCUCCUACGCUUAUUUUAUCAAAACUAACUUUUCCCUUAGACAUUUCUACUCUUAUUUUUUCCGCUGCUAUUAAUUGUAGUUCGUGAGUACCGUGACGAAUGUUCAGAUCUGACUUCUCCUUGUAGAGACCAACCGGAGCAGCCCACUCAGACAGGCUUAACUCUCCUCGUCCCUCCUUCACCCAGCUCCAGGCCAACUCUAAUAGCAAUCAAUGAAGUUCCAGACACAAUAGCUAAUUCAAUUUCCCUGGACCAGGUUUCUCAUCAGGGCUCAAGGUCCUGUCCCCAGCUGAUAGUGCCCCGGAACAUGUCUGCAAGAGUAUGGAUUUAUCCAGAGCCUCUGUAAUAGACACAGAUAACCGGAUUGUUGGAAGAGGAGGGAGGGAAGAGUGAGGUGAGGACCAGCUCACCUGCCUGCGUGCCCAAAGUGAGGCCGGGACACACAGCCGCGAGUCACAUCCCUCUCCCCCUAUCUGCUGCCCCCUCCCUCCUGCAUUAAAACUUAAUCAAGAGACUUCAACUCCCAAUUUGCUGUCCGCAAUGAGAUUUCAGAGACUUAGAGCAAGAGGGGCAAAAAAAAAAGAAAUAAAGGAGGUGGGGUAGUGCGGUGUGUGUCUGUGGGGUGGGGGGGGGGUCUGACGGGAGAUUAAGAUCUGUGUGGCUUCGGUUCACCUACCUGGGGUCCCCCAAUGAUUCCCAAAACGGUGCGUGUCCCAAGCGGCAAGGAGAACGAGAGAAGAGAGGCGGCACCCUCCUCUUGCUAUCUGACAGCUGGUGACCCACGGGGGCAGAGGUUUGAGGGGAAGGGAUCAAACACUAACCAGACUAAAGCGAGAAAAGCAGUAUGUGGACAAAUAUGGGAGGGGGAGGGGGGGGGGGGGGGUCAAUGAUCUCUUUCUGUCUUCUUCGAUAUCCGUUCCCUGCCCCCUCGCUUGGCCCGGCCUUUCAGCUCUCCUGGACAGUAACCUGCUGCCCGCACCAGUCACAGUGAAUAACACCGGGCUGCAGUGAGGCCUAAGUGCGCAACAAUCUCCUACAGGCACUGGGACAACAGAGUAAACAAUGCAAACAUCAGAGACACAACAGCCCUCAGGCUAUGCUCCCUGGCUCUCACACAGCCGCUCUGAAGUGUGUGUGUCUGUGUGUGAGUGUGUGUUUUUGUUUCUGUGCACCUUGCUCUUUUUUUUUUGGCGUGUACAUGCGCGUUCAAAUGUCAUGUCCAGCGGUUUGAAAGCACACACACACACACACACACACACACACACGCUCUCGUUUCCGGCACCAUUUGAAAUCCCCGGUGAGAAGACACCUGAAGGCAGAUGCUGCAGUCUGAUGGCCACCGAAUCCUCCGGACACAUCAAACCAUCGCCUCCUACUAACGCAACUUAUGCACGCACACAGCAACACAGCAGCUAUUAAACACAAAUUGAAGACAUUGUGGCCCCAAUUCGGCACGCACGGGGAACAAGCAGGAGACGAAAUCCGUCCUCUCACAACAAAGGAGAUGGGCAGUGAAACCAACAGAAACACUGAUUUCCAUCCCUAAUGCAUCAGACACGGCAGCGAGAUGCUGUCUCCAAGGUGUUGAAUGGCGUGCCGGCAAUUGUUGUGUUUCUGCUGUACGUCGAGUCAAAAGCUACCAGGGCAGCCCGGUCCAGACUGGCGUCCAAUGAGCUGGACGCCAGCCAAAAUGUCUCGCAUCCCAGCAUCCCACAUUUCAGACGUCCCUUUCAACUCGUCGCGGAAAGAAAAAACGAAAAAGGGGGAGGAGAUAAUUCAAUGUGUUGUGGGCAUGAGAUAAGGCCUGGAAAUGAACAGAAGUAUCUGUAAAACGUCUAAAUAGGUACUGAGAGAGCGAAAAGCAGCAUCGGCGGCGUGAUUAAUGAAUACGUCAGAUAAUUGUUUUCCUCGCAGCGUUCCAUUAUUCCGCGUCCCCUCGCAAACGCCCCAACUAAAGCAGGAAUUCAUGAAAUAUGUAAUUUAGCGCUGACCUUUGGCAGAGUUCAGCAGGUCCCCAUCUGUGUGUGAGGAUUGGAGAGGAGCUGAGAGAGAACGAGAGAGGGAGGGAGAGAAGAAUGAUGACCCCUUUAACAGCUUGCCUGCGACUACCUGCUGAUCCAAAAACACUGGCCAGACAUGAAGCCCCUGCAUAGUCAAAGGAUCAAACAGGGCCAGAGAAUACUGCUUAUUUCAGAGAAACAGAAAGAGGGGGUUUGGGGGGGUGGAGGCGGCUGGGUGGCUGGCGUUUUUCUGCUACUUCUGCCACCAGGGAAAGGAGGGGAGGGAUGAGGAGCAGAGGGCAUGUGACAGAGAUGUAGACAGUGAGGACAGGAAGAGGCAAAAAUAAGGGGAGAGAGAACGGCAACGGGCAGAAUCACAGCUAACCCGUUUCCUCCACCGACGGGUGUGUGUGGGGGGGGGUUGGGCGGGUUAGACGGAAUCUACAAAAACUGUGCCGUUUGAAGCCUAAUCCCCUUUUACAUUCUUAAUUAGGAAACAACAAGCCAUAAGCCCCCUUUGUUGUGCUGACCCGCACGUACCAAACGGCCAUUGUGUGUCGGUGUGUUGAGAUCUGAGGAGGAGAAAAUGUCUCUGUGGUCUCUGCUUCGCCGUUGGACCGACGCAGGCGUUCAGAAAAACACAGCGCCCCGAACAAAGUCGCUUUCCCUUUUUUGGCCAAUUUUCUCUUUGAGUGUCUGAGAUGAAUUUCUAUUUUGUGAUCAUUACGUUCAUUGAAAUGACUGAAAGGAGAAAAGUGGACAGACAUUACAAACCGCUGUCAGUCUAUUCCACCCGAGGGGAUGAAUAUGUACAUAUAACAGUAUAUAUAUAUAUAUAUAUGUUUACUGUAUAUAAAUACUGUGUAUAAAAAUGGUGAUUCCUGUUUAUAAAGUAAAUGCACACUUGGUGCUGUUUGGGUGCGACAUCACGGGACUUCUGUCUUCAGAUGAGGUAAAAGAAAUGUGCCCUUAAUGAUAAUGUGAAUGAAUCCCCGCUCAGUCGUUUGUGUCUCUUACACACACACACACACACACACACACACGCACGCAUCCUUUCCUCAUCUCCUCUCAGUAUGGGCCUUGUAUCACACGCAGACCAUCGCGCAGACACACACACACACACACACACACACACACGGCGAAAUUGAUGUGCUCUCACGCACACGCGUGCACACAGAAGCAGCUGGGGAGCGCGCUGGCGGCUGACGUGAAAUGCCCACAAUGACUCCGGAGGGAUUAAUUUCUCCCACUUUAUUUGUUUAGUACAGCAUGAGGAGCAACUGGGGUGGCGGCAGCACAACAAACAGGAUAUAGGAUAGCGAGUUACUGAUGCCGCAUGCUGAUCCCGAUAUUAGGAUGAUCUGCUGUGAGAGUGUAACGUUGCUGAGUACAGAGAGGAGAAGUUCUCACGCUGUCGACCACACGCAUCAGAAAGGUUUCUGUGGAUAAAGAAAGAAAGUGUCGCAUAUUUUUAAACCCAAAGACACCCUGGCAGUGAAAUGAUUGUGGGUAAUCUAUCAAUAGAUUGAAUAUCAAUUAUGAGUCACCAUUUACAGCCUGGUACACAAAUAGAUUUAUUUGCUUGAUUAAAAUCUACUUUUCAUUGAUUCAUUUGUGCAGCGGUGACUUUUCUUUCAAAUGAUCACAAUAAAUGUGUUUGUGUCUUGAUGUUCCAUACACGGUUAUGCUGCCAGUGUCACACAUUGACUUUACUUCUUUGCUGUUUUCCACUGCUACAUGUGUAAUAAGUCGUUCAUUAAAUGUGUUUUUAUUCUUUAUUGAUGUAGAAAAUUAUUGAAGUGGUGACCAUAUAAUAAUAUUGAUAAAUGUAUAUUAAUGUUAGAUGGGCUAUUCAUGAAAAUGUGUGUCUUUCACCAGAAAUAUAUUUGUGGCACUAAA